rnacentral:tRNA from 1 species
GGGCUGUUAGCUCAAUGGUAGAGCAGCUGACUCUUAAUCAGUAGGUUCGGGGUUCGAGUCCCUGACAGCCCA